rnacentral:rRNA from 1 species
UGUCCUAUUAGGUAGUUGGUGGGGUAAUUGCUUACCAAGCCGAUGAUGGGUAGCUGGACUGAGAGGUCGACCAGCCGCAAUGGGAUUGAAAUACGGCCCAUAUUCCUACGGGAAGCAGCAGUGAGGAAUUUUUCACAAUGGACGAAAGUCUGAUGGAGCAAUACCAUGUGAACGAUGAAGGUCUUCUGAUUGUAAAGUUCUUUUAUUUAGGAAAAAAAGCUUGAUAGGAAAUGAUUAAGCCCUGAUUGUACUAAAUGAAUAAGUGACAGCUAACUAUGUGCCAGCAGCUGCGGUAAAACAUAGGUCACGAGCAUUAUCCGGAUUUAUUGGGCGUAAAGGAAGCGUAGGCGGACAAAUUGAUCUAUUGUUAAAGGCACUUGCUCAACGAGUUGUUUGUGAUAGAUAUCGUUUGUCUAGAAUUAGUUAGGAGAUACUGGAAUUCAAUGUGUAGCGGUGGAAUGCGUAGAUAUAUUGAGGAACACCAGAGGCUAAGGCGAGUAUCUAGGACAUAAUUGACGCUGAGGCUUGAAAGCGUGGGGAGCAAAUGGGAUUAGAUACCCCAGUAGUCCACGCCGUAAACGAUGGGUAUUAGGUAUUUGGUUUAGGACUGAGUGCUGUAGCUAACGCGUUAAAUACCCCGCCUGGGUAGUAUAUAUGCAAAUAUGAAACUCAAAGAAAUUGACGGGGACCUGAACAAGUGGUGGAGCAUGUUGCUUAAUUCGAUAAUACACGAAAAACCUUACCGAGGCUUGUAAUCUUUUGCGAAGCUAUAGAAAUAUAGUGGAGGUUAUCAGAAUGACAGGUGGUGCAUGGCUGUCGUCAGCUCGUGUCUUGAGAUGUUUGGUUAAGUCCCGUAACGAGCGCAACCCUUCUCUUUAGUUAAAUAGUUCUAAAGUGACUGAAUCGUAAGAUAUAGGAAGGCUGGGGCCAAGUCAAGUCAUCAUGCCCCUUAUGCCUCGGGCUGCAAACGUGCUACAAUGGUAGGUAUAAUGUGUCGCAAUCUAGAAAUGGGGAGCUAAUCACCGAAAACCUAUCUCAGUCCGGAUAAAAGGCUGCAAUUCGCCUAUUUGAAGUUGGAAUCACUAG